rnacentral:lncRNA from 1 species
GGAAUUUGGCACAACUCUUGCCAUCACCUUUUGCUGGGUGGUGAAUUUAACUAGAAACCGCACAUAUUGUCAUUCAUGUAAAUGAAUAAGAUCAUGUGUACAUACACGAAAGAACAACCGAGUCAUGUGCACAGAUGAACGCAUACCAGCACGCAAAUGAUAAUUACAAAGUAGUAAUAAUCAUCAUGGGUGCAUGGAACAAGAGAAACUAAAAAGGGAUGGUGGAAUACAAGGAAUGCAAAAAAGAUGCAUCAUCACUAUCUCGCUAGCCGGAUACUAUGCCACUUAUUCUGGAAAUAGCACAUCGUGGCUCCGGACGGGGUCGAUCUCCUCCUCCUUCGGCUGUCAUAUGUGAGCAUCACAUCAAUUGUCAGUCAUCGGCGGCUUGCCCUUCGGAGGCGGCUCGGGCUUGGGUUCGGGUUCAGGCUUGGGCUCUGGCUUAGGCAUGGGUUGAGGCUUGGGCUCUGGUUUUGGCAUUGGGUAAGGCUUGGGCUCUGGCUUUGGCAUCGGCUCGGGCUUAGGCUCCGGCUUUGGCAUCGGCUCUGGCUUGGGUUCAGGUUUUGGCAUCGGCUCGGGCUUGGGCUCUGGCUUUGGUUCGGGUUUUGGCAUCGGUUUAGGCUCAGGCUUCAUCGGCUCGGGUUUGGGCUCUGGCUUUGGUUCGGGUUUUGGCAUCGGCUCUGGUUUGGGCUCUGGCUUUGGUUCGGGUUUUGGCAUCGGCUCUGGUUUGGGCUCAGGCUUAGGCUCAGGUUUUGGCAUCGGCUCUGGCUUGGGCUCAGGCUUAGGCUCAGGUUUGGGCAUGGGGUAAGGCUUGGGCUCAGGCUUCGGUUCGGGUUUCGGCAUCGGCUCGGGCUUGGGCUCUGGCUUUGGUUCGGGUUUUGGCAUCGGCUCGGGCUUGGGCUCUGGCUUUGGUUCCGGUUUCGGCAUCGGUUUAGGCUCUGGCUUCAUCGGCUCGGGUUUGGGCUCAGGUUUCGGUUCUGGUUUAGGCAUGGGCUCAGGUUUCGGUUCUGGUUUAGGCAUAGGCUCAGGUUUGGGCUCAGGUUUCGGUUCUGGUUUAGGCAUCGGCUCGGGCUUGGGUUCUGGCUUUGGCAUCGGCUCCGGCUUGGGUUCCGGCUUGGGCUCUGGCUUUGGCAUGGGUUCAGGCUUAGGCAUAGGUUUGGGCUCCGGCUUUGGCAUGGGUUCAGGCUUAGGCAUAGGUGUGGGCUCCGGCUUCGGCAUGGGUUCAGGUUUAGGCAUAGGCUUGGGCUCCGGGUACGGCGUGGGCUUGGGCUCUGGCUCGGGGAGCUUCUCGGCGAGGCCCCGGCCAGCAGCGGCCGCGAGGCUGAAGCCGGAGGCCGCGAGCAGCCCGACGAGGAGCACGGCAAGGAGGCUGUGCCUCGCCAUUGCUGCUUUCUCGCAGCUGUUGCUGCACUUGUGCUUCACCGCUUCCGAACCUCUCAACGGGCGAUGGAUAGAUAAAGUGGAUGUGGUGUGUGGUUCCUCUGAAUGGUGGUGUGGAGAACCGGAGAUGGCAUAUGUCCCGGCUUUAUAGCGCUGAGCAGCCAAGCAGGCCCAGACGCGUGUGCCACACUCCCGGCGCCGGUGGGUCUGCUUGUGGAUCAGGUUACCCCAACCUUUUCAGUUUUCA